rnacentral:siRNA from 1 species
UGUGGUUUCGGGCCUAAAGG